GGGUUGUGAGGUUAAGCGACUAAGCGUACACGGUGGAUGCCCUGGCAGUCAGAGGCGAUGAAGGGCGUGCUAAUCUGCGAUAAGCGCCGGUAAGGUGAUAUGAACCGUUAUAACCGGCGAUACCCGAAUGGGGAAACCCAGUGUGAUUCGUCACACUAUCAUUAACUGAAUCCAUAGGUUAAUGAGGCGAACCGGGGGAACUGAAACAUCUAAGUACCCCGAGGAAAAGAAAUCAACCGAGAUUCCCCCAGUAGCGGCGAGCGAACGGGGAGGAGCCCAGAGCCUGAAUCAGCAUGUGUGUUAGUGGAAGCGUCUGGAAAGGCGCGCGAUACAGGGUGACAGCCCCGUACACAAAAGCGCAUGUGCUGUGAGCUCGAUGAGUAGGGCGGGACACGUGGUAUCCUGUCUGAAUAUGGGGGGACCAUCCUCCAAGGCUAAAUACUCCUGACUGACCGAUAGUGAACCAGUACCGUGAGGGAAAGGCGAAAAGAACCCCGGCGAGGGGAGUGAAAAAGAACCUGAAACCGUGUACGUACAAGCAGUGGGAGCACAGGUUUACCUGUGUGACUGCGUACCUUUUGUAUAAUGGGUCAGCGACUUAUAUUCUGUAGCAAGGUUAACCGAAUAGGGGAGCCGGAGGGAAACCGAGUCUUAACCGGGCGUUAAGUUGCAGGGUAUAGACCCGAAACCCGGUGAUCUAGCCAUGGGCAGGUUGAAGGUUGGGUAACACUAACUGGAGGACCGAACCGACUAAUGUUGAAAAAUUAGCGGAUGACCUGUGGCUGGGGGUGAAAGGCCAAUCAAACCGGGAGAUAGCUGGUUCUCCCCGAAAGCUAUUUAGGUAGCGCCUCGUGAAUUCAUCUCCGGGGGUAGAGCACUGUUUCGGCUAGGGGGCCAUCCCGGCUUACCAACCCGAUGCAAACUGCGAAUACCGGAGAAUGUUAUCACGGGAGACACACGGCGGGUGCUAACGUCCGUCGUGAAGAGGGAAACAACCCAGACCGCCAGCUAAGGUCCCAAAGUCAUGGUUAAGUGGGAAACGAUGUGGGAAGGCCCAGACAGCCAGGAUGUUGGCUUAGAAGCAGCCAUCAUUUAAAGAAAGCGUAAUAGCUCACUGGUCGAGUCGGCCUGCGCGGAAGAUGUAACGGGGCUAAACCAUGCACCGAAGCUGCGGCAGCGACACUGUGUGUUGUUGGGUAGGGGAGCGUUCUGUAAGCCUGCGAAGGUGGCCUGUGAGGGUUGCUGGAGGUAUCAGAAGUGCGAAUGCUGACAUAAGUAACGAUAAAGCGGGUGAAAAGCCCGCUCGCCGGAAGACCAAGGGUUCCUGUCCAACGUUAAUCGGGGCAGGGUGAGUCGACCCCUAAGGCGAGGCCGAAAGGCGUAGUCGAUGGGAAACGGGUUAAUAUUCCCGUACUUGGUGUUACUGCGAAGGGGGGACGGAGAAGGCUAUGUUGGCCGGGCGACGGUUGUCCCGGUUUAAGCGUGUAGGUGUGUGUUCCAGGUAAAUCCGGUUCACUUUAACACUGAGGCGUGAUGACGAGGCACUACGGUGCUGAAGCAACAAAUGCCCUGCUUCCAGGAAAAGCCUCUAAGCAUCAGGUAACAUCAAAUCGUACCCCAAACCGACACAGGUGGUCAGGUAGAGAAUACCAAGGCGCUUGAGAGAACUCGGGUGAAGGAACUAGGCAAAAUGGUGCCGUAACUUCGGGAGAAGGCACGCUGACACGUAGGUGAAGUGAUUUACUCAUGGAGCUGAAGUCAGUCGAAGAUACCAGCUGGCUGCAACUGUUUAUUAAAAACACAGCACUGUGCAAACACGAAAGUGGACGUAUACGGUGUGACGCCUGCCCGGUGCCGGAAGGUUAAUUGAUGGGGUCAGCGCAAGCGAAGCUCCUGAUCGAAGCCCCGGUAAACGGCGGCCGUAACUAUAACGGUCCUAAGGUAGCGAAAUUCCUUGUCGGGUAAGUUCCGACCUGCACGAAUGGCGUAAUGAUGGCCAGGCUGUCUCCACCCGAGACUCAGUGAAAUUGAACUCGCUGUGAAGAUGCAGUGUACCCGCGGCAAGACGGAAAGACCCCGUGAACCUUUACUAUAGCUUGACACUGAACAUUGAGCCUUGAUGUGUAGGAUAGGUGGGAGGCUUUGAAGCGUGGACGCCAGUCUGCGUGGAGCCGACCUUGAAAUACCACCCUUUAAUGUUUGAUGUUCUAACGUGGACCCGUGAUCCGGGUUGCGGACAGUGUCUGGUGGGUAGUUUGACUGGGGCGGUCUCCUCCUAAAGAGUAACGGAGGAGCACGAAGGUUGGCUAAUCCUGGUCGGACAUCAGGAGGUUAGUGCAAUGGCAUAAGCCAGCUUGACUGCGAGCGUGACGGCGCGAGCAGGUGCGAAAGCAGGUCAUAGUGAUCCGGUGGUUCUGAAUGGAAGGGCCAUCGCUCAACGGAUAAAAGGUACUCCGGGGAUAACAGGCUGAUACCGCCCAAGAGUUCAUAUCGACGGCGGUGUUUGGCACCUCGAUGUCGGCUCAUCACAUCCUGGGGCUGAAGUAGGUCCCAAGGGUAUGGCUGUUCGCCAUUUAAAGUGGUACGCGAGCUGGGUUUAGAACGUCGUGAGACAGUUCGGUCCCUAUCUGCCGUGGGGCGCUGGAGAACUGAGGGGGGGCUGCUCCUAGUACGAGAGGACCGGAGUGGACGCAUCACUGGUGUUCGGGUUGUCAUGCCAAUGGCACUGCCCGGUAGCUAAAUGCGGAAGAGAUAAGUGCUGAAAGCAUCUAAGCACGAAACUUGCCCCGAGAUGAGUUCUCCCUGAGACUACGAGUCUCCUGAAGGAACGUUGAAGACGACGACGUUGAUAGGCCGGGUGUGUAAGCGCAGCGAUGCGUUGAGCUAACCGGUACUAAUGAACCGUGAGGCUUAACCUUACAACGCCGAAG
rnacentral:rRNA from 1 species